GGGCGCAUCCCUGACUGAGCCGCGGCUGGUGGCGCCACGACCGCGUGGACGGGAGCGCGCGCCAGAGCACUCCGGACCGCGCCGGGCGGGGGAGUGACGUGGCGGGGACCGCCUCCGCGCCCUGAGCCAGCCGUGACGCCCGGCGUCCGUCCCCUCUCCCCGAGACUGUGGCCGGCUUGUAGGACGGGCGACGCAGGCGCCGCUCCUCCUCCGAAGUCCCCGCUCUCCGUCGCCCAGGCCCCGGGAGGCGGCGGCCCGGCCCCUGUGAGCCUCUCACAGCAUCUGAGAGCGCGGUUCGGGCCGCCACACGCCACCCCGCCCAAGCUGAGCCCUUGGGACCCACCUGGUCUCCCGCCUCUCGGGCCCUGCUCAGCCUACCCGGACCCCUGGCGUGGCAGGGGCGGCAGCACGGAUGAAUCCCGCGCAGGGCUGUGUGACCUUCGAGGAUGUGUUCGUGUACUUCUCCCGGGAGGAGUGGGAGCUCCUUGAGGAAGCCCAGAGACUCCUGUAUCGUGAUGUGAUGCUGGAGAACUUCGCACUUGUGUCCUCACUGGGACUUGCCGUUUCCAGGCCCCACGUAGUUACCCAGCUGGAGCCGGAGGGGAGCCCAGGGUGCCUGAGAAGGUAAACACAGCUAUAGCUACAGCAAAGAAGACUUGGAGGAACCUGGGCCUGGUUGAUGGCAUGGUGUGAGGGAUGAGGCUGCACCUUCUGAGCAGGGUGUUUCUGUGAGUGUCACAGAUGGGAACUCCCAAGGCAGGUCCUUCCACCCAAAAGGCUCAUCCCUGUGACAUGUGUGACCCGGUCUUGAAAGACAUCUUUGCACCCGGCUGAGCCACAGGAAACACCAUCUGAGCAGUACCCAAACACCGCCAUGUGCAUCACUGUGGGAGAGACUCCUGGGGUAGUAUAAACCUUGACCAGAUGCAGAGGCCGCAGAGUGGAGAGAAUUUCUUCAGAAAGGAAAGGAGCCAGGCCUGAUUUGUGAAGAUCUACAGAUCCCAGGUGUUGGAGAAGGCCUUUACUUGCAGGGAGGGUUGGAAAAACUUUGUGGUCAGUUCUGGACUUACCAGCUGCAGGCCCCUAGCAGUGGGGAGAAACCACACAGAGGCCCUCAGUGUGGGGAGGCCUUUUGUGUAUCAGAUUUCCUUUAGGUAAGAGACCAUAAUCUGAGACCAUAAAGCCUUCCACUUGUUAGGAGGCAACCUCGCUCCUGGGUUGGUUGACUCAGAGCAUCUCAAGGGACUCUUGGCUGUGGUGAACCUGGGAACAACAAGGGCCAUUGGAGAUUCAGGAAAGGCUCCUGAGCCUGGGACACUUUCCCACAAGGAGAGUCCUCCCAGGAAGGUGAGCUCUGAGCACAUGGGUGUGGGAACUGCUAAUCUGCCUUCAACACUUUCAUGGGAGUGAGUCUCUUGGGGAGGGUGCUUUCUGUGAACCACUCACCCCACAGAAAGCUUCCAUGGUCUAUGGGCAGAACUCGUACAAGUGGAAGUUUAACAAAUAUUGGCGUGGUUGUUCGACAUCAGCAGAUCAUGCUGAAGGGAAGCCUGUGACCACGGUAAAUGUGAGAAAGCCUUUCUUGAGAGGGCAGGCCUAGGUCAGCAUGGGAGGAUUUGCACUGAGUGAAGCCAGGGGAGUACUUCCAAGUGUGGGAAGGCCUCCAGCUGCAGGUCAGACCUGCAGCACAGUGGACUCACACUGGGAAAGGCGUUGUGAAUGCAAGGAAUGCAGGAAAGUGGGGGAUGGCUCUGCUUUUGUCCAAAAUAACUUCCCCCGUCCGAGAGAGUCUCUUCAAGUACAGAAUAUGUGGGCUAAGCCUUUUGUGUCAGCUGUUUUCUCACUCAUCAUGUAAGGGUUCCCCCAGGAGAGAAGGCUUGAGGGCAGUGAGGUGGGAAGGCCUUCAUUCACCAUUUUUAUUCCUGGCAUUAAGAGCAUCUGUGCUGGGGGAGAAUCCUUUGAGUAUAAAGAUCAGAGAGCCUUUUGUGACCGCUCUUCCCUAGCUUGGCACGAGGAGUCACAGUGGAGAAAACCUCAUGGAUACAGCAACUGUGGACACACUCUCCGCCUUCAUUCAUCCCUCACCUGCCCCUGAAGUAUUCUUAUUAGGGAGAAACCCUGUGAGUGGAAGAGAUGUGGGAAGGCCUUUUGCAGGUGGACUUAGCUCAGUCAACAGCUGAGAACUCAUACUGGGAAGAAUGUAACUCCUGAGGAAAAUGUUUGCCUGAGGAAACAUCUCACUUGGCAGCUGAGAAGUUAUACCAAAGAGAAAUCCUGUAAGUGUCAUCGUUGUGAGAAAAUCUUCCGAAACAGAUCGUCGCUUACUGUCUUCGAAAGGGUCCUGUUGGAAGUUGACUCUGCAAGGACCUUACUCUCCAAAUGAGAAAGGAGAAAGCUAGUGGAAAAAGAAGAGAAAACUUGUGGUUAUGGUGCAGUUAACAAAACCUUGAGCUAGCACUCAGUAUGUGCUGAGAAGCAAUCAUGGAAGAUUAUUUAAAAAAGAGAGAAGGCAUAGGAGGAGGAAGGAAAGAAGUAGACGUGACAGAAGAAGGACUACUUUCUUGGUUUAUUUCCAGUGUCCCAGGCAAACUCACGACAGUUUGUUUUCAGUUAUUUCUGUUUGGGGUGGCAGGUAGGCGCAAGGGGGCCUCAUCCCUUUCAACCGGCCUGCACACAGUCACUUCCUUUCUAUGUCAGGAGAGCUGGGCACUUGAUAGCCUCUGCGGGUAUUUACCCAAAUCCUUCUUUGUUAAAAAAACACUGACUUAACCAGUCAGGGUCGUAAGUCUUUGUGAUAAAUGUGAAGUCGAUUGAUGAAGCACUCAAAAUUUAAAAGAAGUUAGAACACUAAAAAUAUUGUCACCUAAAGUCAUUUCAUAUCUAAGGAGCUAAGUUCAUAGAUAUGAAUGGGUAUAUUUUUUUGCACCAUUUUAAGACCAUUUAAGGCUUCAGUUAUUCAUUCACUAAUUUUUUCUUCAUUGAGAUAUGAUUGACAUAUAACCCCGUGCGAGUUUAAGGUGUACAGCAUUGAGCUGAUGAAUUUACACUCUAGUAUGAUUGCCAUUAUAGCACUAGCACCUGUAUCCUCGUGGUAUCCAGUGUUCCUCAUGGUAGGAACAGUUAAGAUCUAGUCUCUUGUCCAGUUCAAUGUUUGUAAUACAGUUUUGUUUCUUCCCCGUGCUGUAUAUUAUAUCUUCAGGAUUUAUUUAUCUACCAGUUGCAAGUAGAAAUCCUUAACAUCCCCCCACCCAAGCCUUUGGUAACCAUCAUUCCACUCUCGAAUUUGAGUUUGGUUUUUUGUUUUGCUCUUAAGAUUCCACAUAUAAAAAUAUAUAGUAUUUGUCUUUUUGCGUUUGACUUACCUCACUUAGCAUAAUUUCCUUAAGGACUAUCCAUAUUGUCGCAAAUUACAGCAUUUCCUUUUUUCUCGUGACUGAAUAAUAGUCCAUUGUGUAUAGACCGCGUCUUCUCCCUUGAUAGACACUUCUGUUGUUACCACAUCGUAUCUCUUGUGUACGUUGCUUCAAAUAAACCUGGAGUGUGCAUACCUCUGA